rnacentral:lncRNA from 1 species
ACCUCUUUAUAUGUUCGAUGACGGUGCGAUCGUUCCAAGUGUUGUAAUCGUCACGUGCAUGACUUAGAGAAUCGAAUCCUCUAAUCAUCACAUAGUCAGCUCUGGCCAGAGACUUAGAAUGAUUACAAACUUUCAGAACACACAGGACAUCCAAGACUAUUCUAGCGAUCGAAUCCCCGACUACAAUGCACAGACCUCCCAC